rnacentral:rRNA from 1 species
UUUUUAUAAAGAUUUUAAAAGCAUGCAUGUCUAAGUACAUGUGAGUACAGGAAACGGCGCAAGGCUCAUUACACCAGUUAAAAAUGUAUACGGUGAGAUACCAUUAAAUGGUAUAUCUGCGGUAAUUCUGGGAGUUAAUACAUGCAAUAAUGACUUAUAUAGUUUAUGUUAUGUAGUGGCAGUUAUUAGAUUAAAACCAAUGGGUUCUGCCCCAUAUAUGUUAAUUCUAGAUAAUGGGUUACCAUCCAGAUUUAUUUCUGAUGGAAUGCGGUAUUUGUAUCUGCCUUAUCAAUUAUAUACCCGUGUAUUGAACGGUUAUGGUGUUGCCGGGUAACGGAGAAUUAGGGUUGUUUUCCGGAGAGAAUGCUUUAAAAACGGUUUUCACAUCCAAGGAAGGCAGCAGGCGGGAAAAUUACCCAUUUUCAGUGGGAGGAGGUAGUGACGUGAAAUGCCAAGUUCCAUUCUUUAUAGGAUGGAACAUUGGAAUGGUUUAAUUUUAAAUCCAUUAAAGAUUAUCAAUGAGAGGGCAAUUUUGGUGCCAGCAGCCGCGGUAAUUCCAGUUUUCAUACUGCAUUGAAUUGCUGUUGCGGUUAAAAAGUUGGUAGUUGCAAGUGUACGAUGAGGAGUGGUUCGUCUUAUUGUCGAUACUAUAACUCUCGUUAAAGGGUUAUAUGUUGAAAGACAUAUACCCUAGUUACUUUGAGUAAAUCAGAGUGCUUAGAACAAGCGUAUUGCUUGAAUGGUUGUGCAUGGAAUAACAAUACAAUGCAUUGAUAUUUGUUUUGUUGGUUUUAAUGUCAAUGAAUGAUUAAAAGGAACAAACGGGGGCAAAAGUAUCAUAAGGCGAGAGGUGAAAUUUCGUGGACCCUUGNG